rnacentral:rRNA from 1 species
UACGGAGGGUGCAAGCAUUAAUCGGAAUUAUUGGGCGUAAAGGGCGCGUAGGCGGAUUUGUAAGUCAGAUGUGAAAUUCCAAGACUCAAUUUUGGAGCUGCAUUUGAAACUACAAUUCUUAGAGGAUAGACGGAGAAAACGGAAUUCCACAUGUAGCGGUGAAAUGCGUGGAUAUGUGGAAGAACACCGGUGGCGAAAGCGGUUUUCUAGUUUAUUCCUGACGCUGAGGCGCGAGAGCAAGGGGAGCAAACAGG